UAGUCAGUUCAAUUUCUGUUGAGCUAACUCAAUGUAACAGGCUAAAAAUUAUGAUUAAUAAUUCACCAUCAAUAAAGACUUAAUCGACCCAUUGUGAUGAGUCGGCUUAAUCCAAGGAUGAGCUGAUUCAAAUUUUAGAUCUUGUUGGGUAUAAAAUAACCCCAGUCGAAGUUCGUAAGAGGCCAACUCUCCCAGGACUCUUCCAGCUUUCAACCU
rnacentral:lncRNA from 1 species